UACGAAGGGGGCUAGCGUUGCUCGGAUUGACUGGGCGUAAAGGGCGCGUAGGCGGUUCGUACAGUCAGACGUGAAAUUCCUGGGCUCAACCUGGGGGCUGCGUUUGAUACGUACGGACUUGAGUGCGGAAGAGGGUCGUGGAAUUCCCAGUGUAGAGGUGAAAUUCGUAGAUAUUGGGAAGAACACCGGUGGCGAAGGCGGCGACCUGGUCCGAUACUGACGCUGAGGCGCGAAAGCGUGGGGGAGCAAACAGG
rnacentral:rRNA from 1 species